UGGGGAAUAUUGGACAAUGGGCGCAAGCCUGAUCCAGCCAUGCCGCGUGAGUGAUGAAGGCCUUCGGGUUGUAAAGCUCUUUCACCCACGACGAUGAUGACGGUAGUGGGAGAAGAAGCCCCGGCUAACUUCGUGCCAGCAGCCGCGGUAAUACGAAGGGGGCAAGCGUUGUUCGGAAUGACUGGGCGUAAAGGGCGCGUAGGCGGUUCGUUGCGUCAGAUGUGAAAGCCCCGGGCUCAACCUGGGAACUGCAUUUGAUACGGGCGAGCUUGAAUCCAAGAGAGGGUGGUGGAAUUCCCAGUGUAGAGGUGAAAUUCGUAGAUAUUGGGAAGAACACCAGUGGCGAAGGCGGCCACCUGGCUUGGUAUUGACGCUGAGGCGCGAAAGCGUGGGGAGCAAACAGG
rnacentral:rRNA from 1 species